rnacentral:rRNA from 1 species
AUUGAACGCUGGCGGCAUGCUUUACACAUGCAAGUCGAACGGUAACAGGUCUUCGGAUGCUGACGAGUGGCGAACGGGUGAGUAAUGCAUCGGAACGUGCCCAGUCGUGGGGGAUAACGCAGCGAAAGCUGUGCUAAUACCGCAUACGAUCUAUGGAUGAAAGCGGGGGACCUUAGGGCCUCGCGCGAUUGGAGCGGCCGAUGUCAGAUUAGCUAGUUGGUGGGGUAAAGGCCCACCAAGGCGACGAUCUGUAGCUGGUCUGAGAGGACGACCAGCCACACUGGGACUGAGACACGGCCCAGACUCCUACGGGAGGCAGCAGUGGGGAAUUUUGGACAAUGGGCGCAAGCCUGAUCCAGCAAUGCCGCGUGCAGGAAGAAGGCCUUCGGGUUGUAAACUGCUUUGUACGGAACGAAAAGGCUCUGGUUAAUACCUGGGCUCAUGACGGUACCGUAAGAAUAAGCACCGGCUAACUACGUGCCAG